rnacentral:rRNA from 1 species
GAUGAACGCUGGCGGCGUGCCUAAUACAUGCAAGUCGAGCGAACAGACGAGGAGCUUGCUCCUCUGAUGUUAGCGGCGGACGGGUGAGUAACACGUGGAUAACCUACCUAUAAGACUGGGAUAACUUCGGGAAACCGGAGCUAAUACCGGAUAACAUGUUGAACCGCAUGGUUCAACAGUGAAAGACGGUCUUGCUGUCACUUAUAGAUGGAUCCGCGCCGCAUUAGCUAGUUGGUAAGGUAACGGCUUACCAAGGCAACGAUGCGUAGCCGACCUGAGAGGGUGAUCGGCCACACUGGAACUGAGACACGGUCCAGACUCCUACGGGAGGCAGCAGUGGGGAAUAUUGCGCAAUGGGCGCAAGCCUGACGGAGCAACGCCGCGUGAGUGAAGAAGGCCUUCGGAUCGUAAAACUCUGUUAUUGGGAAAGAAAAAAUGCGUAAGAAUCUCUGCACGUCUUGACGGUACCUAAACAGAAAGCCCCGGCUAACUACGUG